CCCUGGGGAGGCUGUGCAUGGAGGCAGGGGUAUGUGCAGUGAGUGUAUCAUACUGAUGCUAAGGUAUAUCAAUUGUAUAUACGGACAUAUACAGUACGUAUACAUGCAGAGUAAGAGAGUAAAUCACGUCUAUAUAUCUAUAAAUAAUAUCCUAUAUAUUUAUACAUUUUUUAUGUUUUAAAUAGAUAUAAAAAUAGUCUAUAGAGCUGGAAGGGUGGUGGGGAAGUCUGGUGCUGGGUUGGGCUAGGGGAAGGGGACAGGGCUCUGGAGAGGAGGUAGGAAUGCUCAUCAGAAUAGGUUACUAGCCGCUGAGGGGGGCGUCUUCCUUGGGGUGUUGGAGAGGAGGGCAGCUGUGUUCAGGCUCUCUCCAUGCACUUUCUCUCCUUUCCUGCCAGCAAGGCUGAGGCUGGAAGGAGAUACCCCCGAGCUCCGACUGCAGUACCCCUACCUCCCACCACCGCCAGCCCGCACUUAGCUGGUCAUUGCUGCUUAGCAGUGGGGGGUGGGACUUGGUCCCCGACCCCUAGUGGAGGGACCUCUGCACAAAUUCCCCAAUACCCGCCCCUGUCAGGAAUGAGCAACGUUGAUGGCAAUAGGAAAGGGGCACCUGGGAUGAACAAUUAUCCAGAAAGACGACGACGUCAGCCCCAUUCCCCGGAUGCCUCUGCCCCCCCCCCGGGAGGCCAAGCCUCUAAAGUACAACCGUCCUGGCCACCUUCACCUAUUCAACCACUGUCUCUAGAGCACUGGGAGUUGAGGAGGGCAGCGUGAGCUUUAGGUAGCGCUGCCUUUCCCCAUGCAGAGGCCCCCCCCUGGUGGAAGAGAUGUAUCUGCACACUGACAUUUUCAAUGGCAACUCAA
rnacentral:lncRNA from 1 species